AGAGCGAACGCUGGCGGCAGGCUUAACACAUGCAAGUCGAACGGAUCCUUCGGGAUUAGUGGCGGACGGGUGAGUAACACGUGGGAACGUGCCUUUAGGUUCGGAACAACACAGGGAGACUUGUGCUAAUACCGGAUGUGCCCUUCGGGGGAAAGAUUUAUCGCCUUUAGAGCGGCCCGCGUCUGAUUAGCUUGUUGGUGAGGUAAAGGCUCACCAAGGCUACGAUCAGUAGCUGGUCUGAGAGGAUGGCCAGCCACAUUGGGACUGAGACACGGCCCAAACUCCUACGGGAGGCAGCAGUGGGGAAUCUUGCGCAAUGGGGGAAACCCUGACGCAGCCAUGCCGCGUGGAUGAUGAAGGUCUUAGGAUUGUAAAAUCCUUUCAGCGGGGACGAUAAUGACGGUACCCGCAGAAGAAGCCCCGGCUAACUUCGUGCCAGCAGCCGC
rnacentral:rRNA from 1 species